GCUUCCUGAUUAUGAGUUCUAAUUUCUAGACACAAGAAUUCGUAUUAGUGUAUUAACUCAAUUCCACUUUAACGAUAAUCACGAGAUAAAAACCCUUACAACGAUUUACAAGUGCAAUACUUAACAAUUUAGCGGAUUCACAACGAAUGACAGAGUAUAGCCCGAGUUCGGAUAGCACCCAAACAUUCAAGUCGAAAUCACGAUGAAUAACAAAGUAUAACUCAAUUUGAGCAGCACUCAGACAAUCGUUGGAUAGUUAUAAUCGAUCAGAUAAAGUAUCGUACCAGUGAUUAGAGUUAUUACCCUAAUAACGGGCAGAGUUUAGGGAUUUAGAGGGUAAAAUCCCAAGCUAUUAUUUACAAAAAUAAAAGCUGACGGAAAGAAAAGAAUUGAACAGCGAUCGAGUUAAUACCCGGCAUCGUAGCAGCACCCCGCUACACUUAAUUAGUGAUCCGUGUGUGUUUUGGAGUAAAUAACGUAUAACUCGACGUCAAUUUAGAGUUUGAGCGUCGUUUGAACAGCAGACUGUAAGUGUCAAUGUCUGCUAUUUAUACACAAAAUUGGACAUGCUUACGGACCGUAAGCCUUAUCCCUUACGGUCCGUAAGGGGUACGAACCGACUAUAGGGUAGCCACGUUUGGGACUAGGCCUGCUGAGUUGACAGAAAUUUCGAAUGAAAUUUUAACAACGAGUAUUUUAAGAUAAUUGUCAACUAGGUUUGUCCCCCUCUGAGUUUUAGGGGCCCUGAUCCUGAUUCCGAUUGUUCUCAAAAUUUUAGGGUUUGUGCAUAAUCACUUGGGUGUCUCAAUUAGGGUUUCCUUAUUGGAUAAUUAUCAUACUAAGUAUUAAUUUUAGUGAGAGUUGUUACAUCCUCCCCACCUUAAUAAAAAUCUCGUCCUCGAGAUUUGGACUAUGAUAUUUUCUUGGGUUAUGUUUCUUCUUCUAAUUAAGAGAAACAAUGUAUCGUGGAAUGGAAUCAAAAGAUAUUUUGAGGGGUAUGAAUUUUAAAAAUAAAAAUGAUUUAUAGGAACAACUGGAUUCAAUAUCUGAAAUGAACUUACUUUGAUUAAUUUGAGGGAGAUUCUGAAUUGAUAAAUAUCUAUUUGUGAAUGGGAGUAUGGAAAAUGAUUUGUUAAUGAUUAUCCGAAAAUCAACAUCGUUUACUUAAAUGGUACUGGACAAUAGAAUUUAGUGUAUCGUAAUCUGAGUACAUAAUUGUACCAAGAAUAUGACAAAUCAAACGAAUGGCGUAUGAAUAGGGUUUAGCACAGGCUACAAAUCUAUUCGGAUGCUACAAAGUUUUCAAGGAAGCGAAUUUGGAUAUUUCAAAAGAUGAGACAUUCCGAUAUAGUUUUCAAGGUGAUUAUGUUUAAGCCAAAAGAUCUAUGAUCUAUAGAUUCUUAAAAUGAAUGUGAAGAACUUUUUGGAAUUAGUAAAAUUCUUUGUCAGAAGAAAAAUUACCUUGAUUGGUACCUAAGGAAGACUUAAGAUUGACCGGUUCAA
rnacentral:lncRNA from 1 species